ACGCGAAGAACCUUACCUACCCUUGACAUGCCAGGAAGCUUGCCGAGAGGUGAGUGUGCCCGAAAGGGAGCCUGGACACGGGUGCUGCAUGGCUGUCGUCAGCUCGUGUCGUGAGAUGUUGGGUUAAGUCCCGCAACGAGCGCAACCCUUGUCACUAGUUGCUACGCAAGGGCACUCUAGUGAGACUGCCGGUGACAAACCGGAGGAAGGUGGGGAUGACGUCAAGUCCUCAUGGCCCUUAUGGGUAGGGCUUCACACGUCAUACAAUGGCGCAUACAGAGGGCUGCCAACCCGCGAGGGGGAGCCAAUCCCAGAAAGUGCGUCGUAGUCCGGAUUGCAGUCUGCAACUCGACUGCAUGAAGUCGGAAUCGCUAGUAAUCGCGGAUCAGCAAUGUCGCGGUGAAUACGUUCCCGGGUCUUGUACACACCG
rnacentral:rRNA from 1 species